rnacentral:rRNA from 1 species
GAUGAACGCUGGCGGCGUGCCUAAUACAUGCAAGUCGAGCGAACAGACGAGGAGCUUGCUCCUCUGACGUUAGCUGCGGACGGGUGAGUAACACGUGGAUAACCUACCUAUAAGACUGGGAUAACUUCGGGAAACCGGAGCUAAUACCGGUUAACAUUUUGAACCGCAUGGUUCAACAGUGAAAGACGGUCUUGCUGUCACUUAUAGAUGGAUCCGCGCCGCAUUAGCUAGUUGGUAAGGUAACGGCUUACCAAGGCAACGAUGCGUAGCCGACCUGAGAGGGUGAUCGGCCACACUGGAACUGAGACACGGUCCAGACUACUACGGGAGGCAGCAGUAGGGAAUCUUACGCAAUGGGCGAAAGCCUGACGGAGCAACGCCGCGUGAGGGAAGAAGGUAUUCGGAUCGUAAAACUCUGUUAUUAGGGAAGAACAAAUGUGUAAGUAACUAUGCACGUCUUGACGGUACCUAAUCAGAAAGCCACGGCUAACUACGUG